rnacentral:RNase_MRP_RNA from 1 species
CGGCGUGCUGAAGGCCUGUAUCCUAGGCUACACACUGGGGACUUGUUCCUCUGAUCCCUGCCUAGGGGAAAGUCCCCGGACCUCGGGCAGAGAGUGCCGCGUGCCAAGGCACGUAGAUAUUCCCCGCUUCCCACUGCAAAACCCGCCAAGAAGCACGUCUCGCUGAGCGGCGUGGUGCGGGGCGUCGUCCGUCAGUUAACUCUAGUUACGCAGGCAGUGCGUUUCGGCGCACCAACCACACGGGGCUCAUUCUCAGCGCGGC